rnacentral:rRNA from 1 species
CACGGGGGGAGCAAGCGUUGUUCGGAAUCACUGGGCGUAAAGGGCGUGUAGGCGGUCAGGUAAGUGAGAUGUGAAAUGCCCCGGCUCACCCGGGGACCGGCAUCUCAUACUGCUUGGCUUGAGUACGGGAGAGGAUGUGGGAAUUCCUGGUGUAGCGGUGAAAUGCGUAGAUAUCAGGAGGAACACCGGUGGCGAAGGCGCACAUCUGGCCCGAUACUGACGCUGAGGUGCGAAAGCGUGGGGAGCAAACAGG